rnacentral:ncRNA from 1 species
CCUAUGUCAUCUCCCAGCAUAAUCAUAUAUUUUUAUCGGGAGUUAUAUUGUAAUAAUUAACUACAUUUAUAUAUUAAAUAUUCAGAAGUUUUAUUCUUGCUUUAACUAUUAAAUAUUUAUAUUAAUUAUAUGUUUUUUGUUAAAAUAUUUUUUUUCAGUAAUUAAUAUUAUUAUUUAUUUUUAUUUUUAUUUAGAUAUAUAAUUUUAUUAGAUUAAAAUUGUGCCAGCAUUCGCGGUUAUACAAUUUAUUAAAUUUAAUACUUUUAGUAACAAUAAUUUUAUUUAUUGAAUCUUAUAUUUUAAAGGUUUGGUGGAAUUUUUCUUUCAAAAUUAAUUUCUCUUAAUCUUUUAUUAAAUUUAUUUAUUAAACUAGGAUUAGAUACCCUACUAUUUUAAAUUUAAAUUUUAACUUGAAUAUUAUCAGAUAUGUUCUGUUAAACUCAAAGAAUUUGGCGGUAAUUUAUUUGUUUAGAGGAAUUUGAUUAGUAAUUGAUGAACCACGAUAAUUUCAACUUUUAUUUUGACUUGUAUAUCUCUAUAAUAAGGAAUGUUUUAUAAAAAUAUUUUCUUUUUUUAUYUUAAAAUUUAUGUUAGGUCAAGGUGCAGUUUUAUUUAAGUUAAUUUGAAUUACUUUAAUAUUAAAUAUUUUUAYAGAAGGUUUUUAUUCCAAUUUGAUUUAGAAUUUAAUAGUAAUUUUAAACAAUUAUUUUUUUUGAAUUUUACACUAAAUUAUGUACAUAUUGCCCGUCACUCUCAUUUUAGUUGAGAUAAGUCGUAACAAAGUAAUUUUACUGGAAAGUGAAGUUAGAAAGUU